rnacentral:lncRNA from 1 species
GGACGACUCCUCUACCCCUGCGUGGGAUAUGAGUCGUCCCCAGAGCUCUGGCUUUCCCCGAAUAAAGCCUCAUGUGGUUUGCAACAAGCUCGGUCUGUCGUGAGUUCUUGGGUGUCUGCUAUUGUCCUGAGGCCUGAGCGAGGGGCUCCUCUCGAAGUCUUUCAUUUGGGGGCUCGUCCGGGAUUAGCGUGACCACCCAUGUCUCCGAAGACCCACUUGGAGGUGAAAUUUUUUGUCCAAAAAUAUUUCUGUAAGCUGGCUAGGUUCUGUGCUGAAAUUUGCAGCCGCGAUGUUUCGUGAGAAACAGAGACCUUUGCCUCGGGAUGAGGCACUGAGUGUGAACAGCAGACGUGCUGGAAUCACCGGCUGCUGCUCACUCUGGGGGACGCCCUGAGCGAGGGGAACGACUCUAGGAGUCUGUCUGAGGCGGGGAGUGUACUCCCUCGACCAUCUGUAUUUCUGAAGCCCUGAGCGAGGGGAAGGACUCUAGGAGUCCAUCUGAGGCGGGGAGUGUACUCCCUCGACCGUCUGCAUUUCUGAGUUGGUUUUGUCUGUUUGAUGGAAAACAGGCAUCUGUCAGUGUGUAUUUGUUUUUUGUGUUUGUUUUCAGGCAUUUGUCAGUGUGUAUUUGUUUUUUGUGUCUGUUUUCAGGUAUUUGUCAGUGUGUGUAUGUGUGUUUUCUGUGUUUGUUUUGUGUUUUCCGUGGUACUGGAAGGACUGUAACGACCCCCCUAAGUUUGACUUUAGACCACUGGACUGAAGUUAGAUCAAGGGCCCAUAAUCUUUCAGUAGAAAUUAAGAAGGGACCUUGGCAGACUUUCUGCGCCUCCGAGUAGCCGACUUUUAAUGUAAAAUGGUCACUAGAAGGGACUUUUGGUUUACUCUUAUCUUUGAAGUUAAAGCCAUUGUUUUUCAGAGUGGACCUGGGUCCCACCUGGAUCAACAGCCUUACCUCAUUCAGAAUUCACCGCCAUAAAUCAAAUCAUGGGUUCCCCCACGCCUCUCAGAGCCCUCCCCUGGCUGCUCCCAUGCACUCGAGUGGGUCAGCACAGUGCCCUCGCUUUCUGCCCUAAGAAGCAGUCCCUGCACCCAGCUCUGAGAUUGCUAAAGGCACAGUCUGAGGACCAAGGACCUACAGCUGGGACCCGGAGCCGACAAGCCCAGAGUCCCCCAGCAGAUGAAGCUCCUGACACCACUUCUGCCUUUUCCUUUGUGAGCUGUGGGUAACCCGCCCACAGACAGGCAGUCUCUGCAGACCCUUCAAUAUUCGCCUUUCUCAUCGGCUGAUCUGUACAAUUAGAACACUGGGUUCCCUCUGGACCGGCCAGAUUAGAACUACAACACGGCACAAGGGGCAGAACAUUCUGUGUUGAAACAUCCACU